UGACGCCAGAGGGCUGCUAGAGUCUGAGCCAAUCACAACGUUCAGAACGACUGACGCACAUACGUCAUGAACUUGCAGGCCUACGUGACGCGCGAGUCGUGAAUCAACUGAUGCUGUGUGUAAAUGAAAUCUUUACGUGAUUUCCUAAGAUUUCCACGCCGCGAAAUGUAUGAAGAAAUGUCAGUAGAAAGAAACUGGACGGACACCGAGACGAGGGCGCUGCUGUACAUCCGACAGGACGAAGAAAUCAGUAGGCAAAUCAGCGGAACGGUUCGCGACUCUCUUAUUUACGCUGAAAUCUCAAGGCUUCUCAAGGCGCAAGGGAUCCACAGAACCAAGCGACAGGUCACCACCAAACUGAAAACACUCAAGCAGAAGUUCCUGAAAAUACUCGAGCAUCACAAAAACAACGGGCACGGCAGAGUGUACUGGAAUUAUUAUGAUCUCUGCAAGUCCAUUUGGGGCAGCAACCGCCCCGCGGACGCGUUGACGCUUCACAACAACGUGAAACUCGAAGAGCCCCAGAGUACGUCCAUCGAGGACACGCGAAAUGAGAGCAGAUCCACUGACAUCGAGGUGUCAGUCAGUCACGACGAGGAGACGGAUGACACGGCAGACGUGGUCGCUCAACCUGUGAGGAAGAAGGCCAAAAAACAUUCCAUUACCGACUCUGUGAGAGAUCAAGAACCUCUCCACGUGCAGAACCAGAGGGAGUAUGAGGAACACUUGCGAAGGGAAGCCAGAGAGGAACAGAAGGAGGAACGGGCGAGUCUGAUGGCCAUGUGGAAGGAGAUGAUGGAGUUUCAAGGGAACCUCUUAAAGGAGUUCAUACACCGCCCAUCUCUGCCUUCACAUCCAUCUUACCACAGACAUGCUCUUCACAACCAAGCACGCUCUAGUUUUCCAAGCACUAGCUACAUGCCACUGUACAACUCGCCAGGAGCUGAAACUGAGAAUGAAAGUGCAAUCUCACAUGAAGAAGAGGAGGAGGAGGAGGAGGAAGAGAAAUACAUUAUUCCAGCUGAGAUUGCACCUGUGUUGGACAUUCAGCCUGUUAACCGUGCGAACGACAGCCAAUCAAACACAGCAGAGACUGUUUCUCCCCCGCCUACACAAUCAGCAGGAAAGAGCGAUCUGGAGAUGUCUGUGCUACGCAGACAGGAAAGAGUCUUACAGCUUCAGGAAGAGUACUAUUCACUCAAAAUCAACUAUCUGAAACACAAGAUGGCCAAGGAUCCAUGACAGAAUGCUAAAGAGGAGUGUUAAAUUUGCUCAUUUUUAUGGCAGUUUACUAGCAGUUGUUUGCAAAAUUGUCUCCAUUUUCUCCACUAAACGUUACUGGUCUUAUUAUAAGUGAUUCAUUAGUUUGUUGUGUAACAAUCAAUCACACAAUUAUGUCUUGCUUUAUCUUUUAUGUUCCCAUUUAAGGUUCUGUUUUGCACAAUAUAGCAGUAAAAUGGGUUGCAAAUGCAGUUUAAUGUUGACAAUAGGAACUACCGUGAGCUAGAUGUUACACUUCUAAUGUGGAGUAUGUCCGUUACCAUUAUUUUUCAUUAAAUGAAUGAAAACCAGCGAGGAGUCAGAAACAUAGUAUUCAAAAUACUAAAUCAAAAGCAAAAGUCUUUUUCAAAGAAUUGUUUAAAGCAGGGAUUCCCAAACUAUUUAGUCCGUCAAACCCCCUUUGAACUAAAAUAUUUUCUUGAGAUUUUAAGUUAUAUGUAAUAUUUGAAAACAUUUGCAUGUUCACGGUUCUGUGAUGUCAGUUAAUGGUCACAUGACAUGCAGGUAAACAAAUAAAAUAUUGUUUUUUUUUUAAUAAUUCACAUUUUUGUAUUUUAUUUUGAAGCUAUUUAUUUAUUUUGCAUUUUAAAAUGUUUAAUACAUAUUGGCUUUUCAUUAUCUCACAACCCU
ensembl:lncRNA uncharacterized LOC107696482